rnacentral:lncRNA from 1 species
UGGAAGCAUGGGAGCACACAGGCAGUCUUGGUGCUACAUCCAGAUCCACUGGCCACUGGGAGAACCACUGACCUCCAGUGACACACUCCCUCUAGCAAGGCCACACCUCCUAAUCCCUUUCAAUGCUGCCACGCCCUGAUGACUAAACUUUCAAAAGUAGGAGCUUGUGGUGGCUGUUCUUAUUCAAACUACCACUCCCUUCCCCCAUUAAUUAGAGUAAUUCUUAUGCUGCCUUCCAUACACCAGAUGAAGACUGGGAUCUAUAGUUAAUUUUGGAAACAAAUGGGUUAGAUAGAAAUUUAAAGUCAGAGUUGUAAAUGAGAUGGUAGUGUUGUCACCCCUACCAUGCAGUGCCUAAGAGCCCUUUAGUAACUGCCCUCAUUUGGCCUAUAACUUGUAUUUCCAUCAUCAACUAUGAAAGCCUUAAAUACAGUAGCUGUGGAAGUAGUCAUUUUGUUGAUCUUUCACCUUGUUUAUGCUUGGAUUGGAAUUUCAUGGAUUUCCUUUGGGAAAUAAGUCAGGAGGAUAGCCAUGUAUGUAUGUAUGUAUUUAUUUAUUUAUUUUCUUUUUUCUGAGACAUGGUUUCUCUGUGUGGCCCUGGCUGUCCUGGAACUCACUCUGUAGACCAGGCUGGCCUCGAACUCAGAAAUUCGCCUGCCUCUGCCUCCCGAGUGCUGGGAUUAAAGGCGUGCGCCACCACGCCUGGCUUCAGUGUCUUUUUCUUAAAGGAACAUCCUCUCUUGGAUGCUCAGUGGCAACUGUAAAGUUAAAGUGCAGGGAUAACUUUUGUGAAAAAGUUACACAAAAUCUGUGAGUUAAUACUAUCAGAAACCUAAUUUUCUCUUUACAUAAUUCAGAAAGCCCCACCCCCUGUUACUUACCUGAGACAAUAAACUUAUAAAGAAUGCUUAUUUGGGCUUCCACUUUUAGAGGUUUGGGUCCGUGAUCAGUUGGCACCAUUGUCUGGGGACGAGGGUGGCACAUUGUAUUGGAAGUGUGUGGUGGAGCAGGACUGCUUACUUUAUGGACAGGAGAGAUGGGGAGAGUGAAGGAGAGGGGCAGGUAGGGAGGAAGGGAAUAAGGCUACAUAAUGUCUUUCAGGGGCAAAUGCCAGUGACCCAAAGGUUUCCAUUGGGUUAUAUACCACAAAUUUAUACCACAGCUCAGCAGCACCAAGCUGAGGGUCAGGCUCAUGCAAAUCUAGGACCUUCUAGUCAUAAGACUGCAACCUUUUUAGAAAAAAUUACUUUAGUCUAUGCUUUGACAUGGUGCUU